rnacentral:rRNA from 1 species
CGGUCCUAAGGUAGCGAAAUUCCUUGUCGGGUAAGUUCCGACCUGCACGAAUGGCGUAACGAUCUCCACACUGUCUCGGCCAGAGACUCGGUGAAAUUGCAGUCGCGGUGAAAAUUCCGUGUACCCGCAGAAAGACGGAAAGACCCUGUGCACCUUUACUAUAGCUUGACAUUGGAUUUUGGGCCUGCAUGUGUAGGAUAGGUGGGAGGCUGUGAACCCUGUACGCCAGUAUGGGGGGAGCCAUCCUUGAAAUACCACCCUUGCAUGUUUAAGAUCCUAACUUCUUCCGGUUAUCCCGGAGAAAGACAGUGUCUGGCGGGUAGUUUGACUGGGGCGGUCGCCUCCUAAAGUGUAACGGAGGCAUGCAAAGGUUCCCUCAGCCUGAUCGGAAACCAGGCGCUGAGUGCAAACGCAUAAGGGAGCUUGACUGUAAGAGAGACAUCUCGAACAGGAACGAAAGUUGGCGUUAGUGAUCCGGUGGUCCCGUAUGGAAGGGCCAUCGCUCAUUGGAUAAAAGGUACGCCGGGGAUAACAGGCUGAUCGCAUCCAAGAGUUCACAUCGACGAUGCGGUUUGGCACCUCGAUGUCGGCUCAUCACAUCCUGGGGCUGAAGCAGGUCCCAAGGGUACGGCUGUUCGCCGUUUAAAGUGGUACGCGAGCUGGGUUUAAAACGUCGUGAGACAGUUUGGUCCCUAUCUGCCGUGGGCGUUGGAAGAUUGACGGGGGCUGCUCCUAGUACGAGAGGACCGGAGUGGACGCACCUCUGGUGUACCGGUUGUCACGCCAGUGGCAUUGCCGGGUAGCUAAGUGCGGAAGAGAUAACCGCUGAAAGCAUCUAAGCGGGAAACUUGCCUGAAGAUGAGUCUUCCCGGAGGUUGAACCUCCCUCAAGAGUCGUCCGAGACCAGGACGUCGAUAGGUCAGGUGUGUAAGCGCUGUAAGGCGUUGAGCUAACUGAUACUAAUUGCUCGUGAGGCUUGAUCCU